GGAAAACCAGUGUCCAUAGGAAGUCCUGUUUGCAUCAUGCCUUUGAGAGCGAACCACACAAACAGCUGAAACCUUGGGAAAGUGGAAGUCCCUCAAGAGGAGAUCUGUUUCCAUGAUCCUUUCUCCAAGUGGACACGGAAUUCCUCCAACAGAUAUUGCUGGACUACCUUUUCUAAACAUACGCUAGCGUGUCAUAAAUUCAGGAUGACACCGGAACUACGCUCUUGUCUUUGGUGAACGUGGUGCUGACCACUGAAUGGUGUGACCUUUCAAAGAAGCCUGCAGCCUGGAUACUUACCCAUAUC